CCUACGGGUGGCAGCAGUAGGGAAUCUUUCACAAUGGGCGAAAGCCUGAUGGAGCAACGCCGCGUGCAGGAUGAAGGCCUUCGGGUUGUAAACUGCCUUUAUAAGCGAGAAAUAUGAUGGUAACUUAUGAAAAAGCAUCGGCUAACUUCGUACCAGAGGCCGCGGUAAUACGGAGGAUGCGAGCGUUAUCCGGAUUGAUGGGGUUAAAGGGGUGCGUAGGCGGAGCGUAAAGGCAGUGGGCAAAUUGAGGGGCUCAACCCCUUCCUGCCAUUGAAACUGGCGCUCUUGAGUGGAAGAGAAGUAUGCGGAAUGCGUGGUGUAGCGGUGAAAUGCAUAGAUAUCACGCAGAACCCCGAUUGCGAAGGCAGCAUGCCGGCUUCCGACUGACGCUGAAGCACGAAAGCGUGGGGAUCGAACAGGAUUAGAUACCCGUGUAGUC
rnacentral:rRNA from 1 species